AUUGAACGCUGGCGGCAGGCCUAACACAUGCAAGUCGAACGCGUGGCGGACGGGUGAGUAAUGUCUGGGAAACUGCCCGAUGGAGGGGGAUAACUACUGGAAACGGUAGCUAAUACCGCAUACCAUCGGAUGUGCCCAGAUGGGAUUAGCUAGUAGGUGGGGGAACGGCUAACCUAGGCGAAGAUCCAUCGCUGGUCGGAGAGGAUGACCAGCCACACUGGAACUUAGCCCCGGUCCAGACUCCUACUGGAGGCAGCAUUGGGGAAUAUUGCACAAUGGGCGCAAGCCUGAUGCAGCCAUGCCGCGUGUAUGAAGAAGGCCUUCGGGUUGUAAAGUGCUUUCAGCGAGGAGGCGUUACUCGCAGAAGAAGCACCGGCUAACUCCGUGCCAGCAGCCGCGGUAAUUC
rnacentral:rRNA from 1 species